rnacentral:rRNA from 1 species
CUACGGGUCGCACCAGUGGGGAAUUUUGCACAAUGGGCGAAAGCCUGAUGCAGCGACGCCGCGUGGAGGAUGAAGGUUUUCGGAUUGUAAACUCCUUUUGUAGGGGAAAAUAAUGAUGGUACCCUGCGAAUAAGCCACGGCUAACUCUGUGCCAGCAGCCGCGGUAAGACAGAGGUGGUGAGCGUUGUUCGGAAUUACUGGGCUUAAAGGGCGCGUAGGCGGUAAGAUAAGUCUGUGGUGAAAUCAUAUGGCUUAACCAUAUAAUGGCCUCGGAAACUGUUUUACUUGAGUCAGCGAGGGGAUGGUGGAAUUCCUGGUGUAGCAGUGAAAUGCGUAGAUAUCCGGAGGAAGGCCGGUGGCGAAGGCGGCCAUCUGGCGCUGAACUGACGCUGAGGCGCGAAAGCGUGGGUAGCAAACAGGAUUAGAUACCCUGGUAGUC